GUAAAGAUGCCAGAAAAUUUGAUGGGGUUGAUUUAGGUUUAAUUUAUGGGGUAUUGCUCCUCUUUAUG
rnacentral:tRNA from 1 species